GCCGGCGUGGCGGAAUGGCAGACGCGGCGGACUCAAAAUCCGCUGUCCGCGAGGACGUGAGGGUUCGAGCCCCUCCGCCGGCA
rnacentral:tRNA from 2 species